rnacentral:tRNA from 3 species
UCAGCGCGUGGGCGAGGCGUCGAUCGCCUGAUAGGCGGCCUUGACGGCCACCGAGCCGUACUUGCGUUCGAGCCGGCGCACGGUGAA